GGUGGCUCUGCCACAUCCCCAGGACUCAAUCUCUUUCUACCUUUCUGUUCUGCCAUUCCUAGUCACAGGGGUUCCAUCUCCAAAGUGACCUUAAGAUCUGAGGUGACCACUGCAACUCCAAGCCAUCCUGGUUCACCAACUGCUAGAAACACCCAGAUUUUAACUUUCCAACUCACUUCUUCCAAGAAGCUCCCCCUGGUAUAUGGCCACCUCCUCUGAGACCACUUCAUCCCACUGUCCAUUGUCAAGAGCAUGUCUUUCACUCAGAGAAUCAAAACUUUUGUUGAAGACAGACCUUACACCAUCUGGCCUAAUGAUUUGCAACUUGUUUUUCAGAGCCCUUUCUGCAAGUAAAAACAUAUGUGAAACCCCAACAUGAUGGAUAAAAUGAAUAAAAUGUAGAAUGGGAUGGGGCAGAGGAGCCCCAAGUCACUUCAGAACAUAGUUAGAAAAGAUAAUAUCUUGC
rnacentral:lncRNA from 10 species